GCACAGUUAAACCUUCUGCUUCAGGUAAGGAAGAUUGCAUUUUCUAACCACAAAAACGUUCCAACACAGCAUUGAAGAGGCCCUUCCACUAAAAACGGCUUUUCUUAGGUUUCUGUUCAAUAUUUUAGCUCCACAGGUGUUCUUACCUUGAUGGUGGGUGUGAAAACAGGUCAACAACA